UCACUUUUCUGCAAAUUAAUUUACUAGAUCAUCAAAAUUUAUACUCAUUGUAAUUUCAUUUUUAAUUGAUCAAACUGAAAGUGAUGUGAGCUGCUCUUGGGAAAUGCAAGAUCAUAAAUAAUUUUUGGCAAUUUUUAAUUUGAGAAGAAUCUUCCUGCUCAUGCAUCUUUCACUGAAGUUUAUAAGAAUAUUUAUAGGCUGUGAUAACAUUUAGAUAAAUUUCUGAUAAAUCAUUUCAAAAUAAAACCUUUUGAGCUAAUGAUUCUCAUAGAACAAUUUUCUAAAAAGAUUUAACUCUUCAUAAAAAUCAGCUUCCUCUGUGAAUUUAAUUUUAAAUGUACAUUUAUUCAAUAUUCAUUUUAAUGUUUCCUCUGACAAUUCCUGUAACUUCUGGAGGUUGUGCAAUAAUCCAAAAGUGGCUUUAUAUUUUGUAUAUACACCAGAACACUUGCUUAUAUGCAUUCUAUUGUUGUAUGUUCAAUUACAAAAAUAAAAUAAAAUUUAAAAUGGUCUUUCUUGUUCAUACUUCAUUUAUUCAAAGCUUCAUAAGCUUUAUUCAAGCUUGGAAAACUAUUAUUUUCUGUCACAUGCAAUCAUCUUUAAUUUCUAUUCCUAAACUUAUGGAUAUUUUAUUUGCAAUAUUAUAGCAAUUUUCAAAACUGGAGAUUUUAAACUCUUUGAAGAAUUCUAAUAACUCCUUGACAUGUUUUAUUGCAAUGUCUGUGUGUUUGCUUUUAUUUUGUAAUAUUUUACUAAAAAAGUUUUCUGCAUUGAGUGCCAAUAGUUUCUUUCCUUAUUAUAUGUGCAGAUACCACAGAGACAGAUGCUGGGGACCAGCCUCCCAUGGAAACCUCACAGCCUGGCAGUGGCAGUGCAAAUCUAUGUUUGGAGCUGGCUUUGUGGCAGGGCCAGCAGACCAAAACGGAAAGAAAAAAAUCGGGAUUUCCCUACAAUUUCUGUGUGGCAGGAGCCCCUUUUCUUCUACACAGUUCUCAAUUCAGCCUGCUUUUAAGUGAAAGCCAGAAGAUAAAGGAGGAAAAAAGAAACAAGGAAACUGAAACUUAUUGGUCCAUAAAAGCCCUGGGCUCAGCCAGAGCAGGGCAGACGAUGGCCAAAGGACGAAGAGGAUAGACAGACUACACAAGGACCAGCUGCAGAAAGGAGCUACCGUCUCUGCCGAGAGCUUCAGAGACAACCUGCCAGCAGACAGGAGGCACCCUCUCCAGGGCCUCCUCUCCACUGAGAGCUGCAGACAUUGGGACAACCAGUAGUAGAGAGGAGCUACCCUCUCCAGGGCCACCUCUCUAAUGAGAACUGAAUGCUGGACAGAUGAU